GUCAACUGUUGCUUAACAGUGAGAGCAUCAGUUUCCACUAUAACAGGCUGUAAAGAGUAUUCCACAAUGAGCUGAAAAGCUUCCUUACAAGCCAGUAAUUCAGCAUGUUCAGCUGAAAGCAAACCAAACAUGGACUUUCCUUUCCCCAGCAAGAACUGCCCAAAAGAAUCACGUAGUACCAGACCCACUCCUCCGGCUCCAGUCUCCUUGACAAAGGCAUCAUCAAUAUUUAACUUAAGACACCCCACUGGAGGACACUUCCAUAAUACCAUGUUUGCACCCCGGGUGCUCCCACCUUGACUACUAGAAUUAUAAUGAAUGAAAUCUUGAAGUCUAGAACAGCACAUUAAAGUCACAUCACUAGCCCUCGUAACCUUAUUCUCCCACACUAUGCAAUUUCUUUCUUUCCACACUCCCCAUAGUAAGAAAAUCAAACUACCAAAGUGGUUCAAAUCUAACCUUUCAGAGCAGUACAACAGCCAUUCCAAAACCGUCAUGCCAUCUGUCUCAGUUGUAUAACAUACUUGAGUUAGAAUUUAACCUUAAUUCUUAUUUACGUAUUUAGUGCUGAUAUUCAAUGUCCAUAAACUUAAAGAUAUUAUCAAUUCUCAUGCAUUCUUUCGCUCCGAAAACUUCUCAUAUGUUCUUCUUUUCAUAAUAGUUGGGCCCAUAUCCAAGCCCAAACCAAUGGUCAGCUCGAGACCCGGGCCAAACAAAGGCCCAAAACCCGCUCCAACCAUCCAAUCGCUCCCGAUACCUUUCCCAGACGGCCAGACCUGUGUUGCUUCCCGUCCGGCAGCACGCCGUGCUAGGCCGUUUGAUCCAAUCGCUGGAGCCUCUUCACCUUCCUCAUGUUGUUCUUGAACACCCUCGAACCUAUAGUCCUGCUCCUCUUGGCUCGCGUACGACUUGCAGAAUUUGCGCUUCAACAAGGUGGAGGUGCUUCGCUCUGAGCAUCCAUUCGCCGUCGUGACCGUAGUGGUGCCCUUCAUUGUCGCCGUCCACGACUUGACUCAUCAAUGGAUUCCCGCCCUCCACUUCAGCACGAGCGAGGAAGACAUUGACAAUCGCGAAUCAAUGGACAGAAAAGAACAGGAAGAGAGAGAGAGAGAGUUUGAUCCAUCCGUCUAUUCUUCCCAACUUUGACAAUCGCUCCGACUUCCAAAACCAAAGAAGACCAAGAGCCACAAAAACCAGAAUCGAUGACCCAACCCUCCAGAAUUCAACGCCAUCUGGUCGCAAUAGAGUACAUUGGUACUCACUUCUCAAGGUCUCAGCAACUGGGUCGGAUCUGUUCUUUCCAUUUACCUCUUUGUUUUUUACCAUCUCAAAUUUGUUACCUGCACACAACCCCAUCUAUUUUUUGUUCACAGUAGACGUUGACUGUCAAGAUAAAAGUCAUUUUAAUCAAUGGUUCAGAUGACUUAACUGCUGACCCCACGUAUUCUACGUCUCGGAUUGAGCCACGUGUCUAUCAGUCUUGUAUGUGCACUUCCACCACCGUGCACUGAAGAAUUUUCGCCAAACGGAUUCCAAACUCAAAAGUUCUUUUCAUAGUUUGGACCGGUACCCUUACGAUUUAUCUUGCUGCCCCACAACAUACAUACUUCUGAACUCAGUUUAACUACUUUAAAAUGUGAGGCUAUGAUACUCUAUAGAAUCCAUAUGGUUUUGUUUAAUAGCUUUAGACACAAAUCCAGUCCAAACGAUCACAAUAAUCUAAUCACCAACCCACCCAACUUUGAAUCUCUAGUCUAAACCCAUCAGUCAAAACCCCGAAAUUUCUCAAAUUUCGGAAAUGUUGCAAUAUGAGCCUGGAAAACGCAUUUCAGCAGAGAAGGCUAUGGGACACCCUUAGUUUGAUGAUUUGAACAAGGCUGGUCUCUGAAAAGAAAGAUGAAGCAUAUGACAGAAUCACUACGUGUGGAAUUUAGAUCGAUUCUCGAAUUGCUGGCUAACAGAUGUUCUGUAGUGAACUUUCUUUGCUUUCCUCGAGCAUAUUUGCAGUUGUGUUAAAUCUAUCUUAGGAUUGAUCUGUAAAAGCGUAUUGCUACUUUGCAUUUGAUUCAGAACCUAAUUACAACACUUCUAGUUGUCCCUGUGUUGCUUACAAAUUUGGAAAAUAUUGUCUUUUUGUAACGAAUCUCUAUCAGAACUGAGAUGAGUGAUUUAGAUUUUGCUUGAAUGAGAUGCUUUGUAGCUGUUUCA